rnacentral:rRNA from 1 species
UGCGUAGGCGGCCCCCAAGUCAGCGGUGAAAUGUCCGGGCCCAACCCGGAGGGUGCCGUUGAUACUGUGGGGCUGGAGUACGGACGCCGGCGGAGGAAUGAGUGGUGUAGCGGUGAAAUGCAUAGAUAUCACUCAGAACACCGAUUGCGAAGGCAUCCGCCGAGGCCGUUACUGACGCUGAGGCACGAAAGCGUGGGGAUAGAACAGGAUUAGUAUACCCUGGUAUUCCACGCCGUAAACGAUGAUGACUAACCGCCGGGGGGAGACUUCCGGCAGCCAAGCGAAAGCGAUAAGUCAUCCACCUGGGGAGGACGGCCGCAAGGUUGAAACUCAAAGGAAUUGACGGGGGCCCGCACAAGCGGAGGAACAUGUGGUUUAAUUCGAUGAUACGCGAGGAACCUUACCCGGGCUCGAACGGCGCGCGAAGCGGGCGGAGACGCCCACGCCCCUCGGGGCGCGCGCCGAGG